rfam:Gasterosteus aculeatus cont1.007368, whole genome shotgun sequence.
UUUAAAGUGUAAUGUAAGUCGCUUUGGAUAAAAGUGUCUGCUAAAUGACACGUA